AUGCGACAUCUAAACCUGAUACGAAAUUUGAGGGCACAAAGUGACCCGUGGUUUGCAGAAUACCUUUUACGCAUCGGUUAUGGUAAGGAGGAGACCAAUGGUGAUGGCUAUGUCCACAUUCCGGAUGAGAUAUGUGUGCCGUGUACUGUGAAGGACACUGACCUUGAUACAUUAAUAAACAAUUUUUUCCCAGUCUUGAUGCUAGAUGCUGACCCAAACUACAUCACCUCCAGAGCAAUCUUGUCAACACAGAAUGAUUGUGUGGAUAGGAUUAGUUUGAAGAUGAUCAAUCGAUUCCAGGGAGACGAGGUGGUGUUCCAUAGCUUUGAUGGUGCAGUGGACGACCCUCAUGACCACGAACCAUUUGGGUUCCUUGGAGCAUCUCCAACAGCCGCCCAACCCCCACAUGUGUUGAAGCUCAAGAUUAACUGCCCUAUCGUAUUGCUCAGAAAUAUUGACCCUAUGAACGAGCUUUGCAAUGACAUGAGGCUGGUGGUUCGAGGAUUCCAAAGGAAUAUCAUUGAUGCAGAAAUUGUGUUGGGCCAACAUACUGGAAAGAGGAUCUUCUGUCCAAGGAUUCCCCUUUUUCCCUCUGAUGAUGAGAUGUUCCCUUUUCAGUUCAAGAGGAAGUAAUUUCCUAUCAGGCCCAGCUUCGCCACGAUGGUUAACAAGGCACAGGGGCAAACGAUCCCGAAUGCUGGUUUUUACUUGCCCGAGCCGGUGUUCUUUUAGGGACAGUUGUAUGUGGCCCUCUCUAGAUUCACCGUGAGAAAACAAUUAAAGAUUCUGGCCAUCCCAGAUGCUGGUAAGAAAAACAAGAACUCAGAUGUAGCAAAAAGAAGAGUUCAAAUUGCAACAAGGUAUACAAAGAACAUCGUCUAUAUAGAGAUCCUUACAUCAUAG
rnacentral:rRNA from 1 species